CAUCCAGCCAAAUAUAUCCAUGAAAAAAUAAUUUACAAGCACAACCGGUGCCACACCCCGAGCAAGCAGCAGAACUCGCACUGCAACAGAAGCGCCCGGUAACAAGUGCAUUAAGUGAAAACUCUGCCUAAUUCCUGUUUUACAUGACUGUAAACAUCACCUCACCGCGCCGCUACCAUAAAUGGUCCGCGGCAGCACAGAUAAAGCCGUCACCGCUGUUAUAUCGGUAUCACUUUUCUCCCGUGACUGAUACAUGGCAAGAUCAAGGGCUGCAGACAGAUGAAGACCACAAAUGUUCCAGCUGACCUCACUUUCCAAAAUGCAUCAUUCCCACAAAUAAACAUCAUUAAACAUAA